AGCUGGCUUAAUUCCCCUCCUCUUGAUGGGGUACUGGCCUUAGUGACAAACAGAAUAUGAUGAAAACAAAGGGCAUGACGCUGGAGACCAGGUCAUAGAGGGCAUUGAGGCUUCCUCCUUGCCCUGUUGCCUGAAUCACUCACUCUGGGCAAAGCAGUGGCCAUCUUGUGAGAUAAUUUCAAGAGGGCACUCAAGCCAUCCUAUGGAGAGGCCCAUCUGGUGAGGAACAGAAGGUUCCAGACAACAGCCCACAAGAAUAACUGAGGCCUUCAGUCAAGAACCAAAUGACGCUGUCAGGAGUCUUCCAGAUCAUAAUUGGAAUGCCAUCUGGGUUAGGAUCUCCUAUGGAUAGAUAAACACAACAAGAGGGCAAAACUUGAUCAAGGCAACCCUCCAUAUUGUUCACAGGUCUUUGCAACCCAAGUGCUGCACUUGAGAGACCACACCAGAAGAGCUUCAACUGCUCCUAGACCUUAUUUAGCUGAUAAGAUCCUGGACUUGGACCUGAUGCCACAGUAGUAUGGGACUUUUAGGGGUUUUGAGAAGGGGUAACUUACGGUCAAAUUUCAAAAAUUCAAAAUCAUGAUCUGUCAAGAGGAAGAAGGAAAAUUGAAAAUCUUCUUAGCUGAUGCCUCACAGGGUCUGAGUGCUGCUGGCAAUGCGACAGCAAAAGGGGAGGAUUAAGCACUGCCUGGUACAUAAUAUCAGAAGUCCUGAAAGGAAGUGAAAAUCAAGCUUUCUGUAUAGGAUCAGUAAAUUUCUGGAUUUCCAACUGAGCUUCUCUGUUUCAGGGAAUAAAUUACUGAUUCCAAACCACUCUCUAGAUCUUUGUGACCUUUGGUAACAUCCCUUGAUCCCUUGUUAUUGGCUAAAGCCUGGAAAGAAAAAUUCUGAAAGGCAAAUAAUAGCAAAGACUAAGAACAUGGGGUCUGGCUACUUUUUUCAUCCCACUGAUUUUUCCUCAGUAGCAACCUCAUGUGCAGCUGACCUCAUGGUCUAUUCUCAUUUCUCCUCUGACAGAAAUCUUUUGCUCAAUUUCCAUUCUAGAACAUCUCUGAUUCUUUC
rnacentral:lncRNA from 1 species